CGGAUUAUGCUUAGGGCAAUUAUUAUUUACAUUAAUAAUUUAUUUGUGCGAUUCAAAUUAAUCUGA
rnacentral:tRNA from 1 species